GUCCAGGGGCGGGAAUCGAACCCACAACCUUCUGCUUACCGGGCAGGUGUCAUGUCCACUAGGCUACCCUGGA
rnacentral:tRNA from 1 species